GGGCCCGUAGCCUAGCCAGGAUAGGGCGUCGGACUUCUAAUCCGAAGGUCCCGGGUUCAAAUCCCGGCGGGUCCGC
rnacentral:tRNA from 1 species